GAGAGGUAGAAGUUGUUCCUGCUGGAUUGGUCAUCCCUACAUAUAAACACCUGGAAGGAAAAGGGGAACAUCUCAAUGGAGAAGAAACAAAAGACUGGUGGCAAAUUUACUGGAUUCUGGGAAACUUUAGCCAGAGCAAUGAUGCCUUUGGAUUGCAAAAACGUGUUCUCUUCCUCAAAAAUAGCUUUGCACUGUAAGCAUCCCCUCAAAUAGGGGUUUCAUUGUGGGCUGGUUGAUUUUUUUUGGCUAUCUCAGCUUUGUGCCAGAGUAUUCCUGUUUUUCAGUCCUACUUUUAUGCUCCAAUAUACCAGCAAUAUUUCUCCUUUUACUGGCUCAUUUAACCCAUGCAAUAAAGAUGCUUGUCAUGUCAUAAGGUAAGUAUUUUCCCUAGAAAUUGCUAUAGAAGUUCUUAUCAAACUGGACACUUCUAUUGAUUCGUGAAUUGAUAUUAGCAAGUCUCUUUCUGCCUUCUUUUUAACAAUUGACUUCUAGACCUCCACAUUUCUUCAAAGAAAUAUUGCUGUAAAUUGCAGUGACCCAACGUAAUCUUGACCUGCUCUUUUUCUUCUCUUAUCCCUCAGUGCUCCAAUAUUCUAAUAGCUUUUCUUAUGCUCCUCGCAAUUAGUUCACAGAAAAUUAGAAGAGAUAAUGGUUAAUGAACAACUGUCACUCACUGUCAGUGAAGUGCUGCAAAUGAAAAGGCACUUUCAGAAGUCAGAGAAAUGAGAUAAUAUUGCAGGGACAAUGAGCCAUCCAGAGCUGGGGAAAAACUGUGUGGAAUCUGAAAUUUUCCUUGCUCAAGAUCCUUUAAUAGCUUGAAAAUGUUCAUCUCUGUGUGGCUCUCACUCAGAUCAAACCCUGAAGAACUUUUCUAACCCUCAGUACAUGCAGGGAAAUGACCCGAGGCCAGUGAGAUUGUUGGAACAUCCUGGUCUCUCAUAGCCUUGGACCCUUUAAAAGAUACAUGAAAAAAAGUUAUGAUUAUUAAACCUGUGUAAUAUUAAAGUAUCAGUAUUUAUACCCCAUCAACAAGGGUCUGCACUGAUGUUGUUGUGAGCACAGUUUAAAAAUGGAGAAUAUUUUAUUCUACUUUUCUUUUGGAUCUAAAAAGAGACACUCAAAGUAACCACUUUAAAUUUGACCUGAAAGAUCCCACACAGGAUAAAACUCUCCAGCAGGAUAUUUCUCUUACUUACUCCCCUGACCAAGCUUAGUCAGAAACAUCCCCCAAUGUGGUUUAGAAUGUUGUUUGUCUUCAUCCAGGAAAAAAGAUCAAUUCUGUUGUGGAAACACAGUGCACAGCAUGGGAUCACACUAAUCAAUUUGAGCAGGCCUUGGUAAAACUAUCUGGUGCUCUGCAAUCCAGCAGCAUCAAAGCUAAUUAAUACUUUAGUCAGCUUAAUGAAUGUAUUAGCAGUUAAUAUUUGUGUAUAAGCUCCUCAUAACUCAAUAAUCCUAUCCCAUUUGCAUUAUUAAUAGGACAGGUAUGUGCCUUGGAGUUGAUUGAUCAUAAAACCCAUUAACCCAGAUUUGUGCUGUGUCUCCAGUUGACUCCAAGGAGGAGCAGGAAUCACCAAGGGCACGAGAGCAGGGAGCAGACUCAGGGGUAUAAAGACCUUUUCAGCUUCCAGGUGACUGGAACUGGAGAAUUGCAGGGAAAGAUGCAUUAUAAACCACCUGGGGGCUGGUCUAGGAGGUGAUGGAUGUCUGAAACCAAGGACUAAGUGCCCUAGUUUAUGAGAUGCCCAAACUCUUUCAGCCCAAGCCCCCUCUACAAGGCAAGCAGAGCAAGAGGAGAGAGGGGAGAGGGGAGAGGUCUGAUCCACUCCACAAAAGAAUAUCCCUUCAUUUCCCUUACUCUCUUUACCCCACUCCACACAUAAAAACUUGCCAUGUAGUGGAAGUUUAUUUAUUUAAAUGAAUCUGUGGGUUGUUUCAGGUGGGAGACGAGUAAAUAAAUCAAGCACUUCACCACCACCAGUUAGAGAGGAACAAUAUUUUGCAAUUUCCCUCCUACAGGCUUUGUGUUCUACAAAGAGAAAUAAAAACCUACUUCAUCCUCUUCAGCAGCCUUGAAAGCUUUUGCUUAUUCAUCCCCCCCUCACAAUAGAGGCCAGAUAAUGCUCUGAAAGGGGAAAGCACCGUUCAGACACUGCAGAGAGAAUAUGCAGUGGAAUGAAUUCCAUGGAACAAUAAUAAAAGAAAGAUAUGAGGAAGAAGCAGUUCAUUCCUUUGGAGACUCAUCUUUUUAAUGCACUAUUUCCACAGGAUCUUCUAAUUGCUUCUUGUGGGAUUGAAGUGUUUUCUCUUGCAGCCUUGGUUUAGAAAUUUGUUACACUCGUUGGUGCCUCGUUCUGCUUUUUUAGUUUUAGGUCUGAAGAAUUGUUUUCUUAUCCUGGUAUUUUUUUUUUUUUCCCUGAGAUAUUUUCCCCAUCUCUCACAUUUCCUUGUUCACGUUGUUAUUAUCAGUGAAAUUUAAGCUCUAUAUGAUGCUGUGAAGCUGACUCCUCUUUCAUUGCCACACUUUCUUAUGUGGUGGGACGGCGGGGAAAGCUGCUGGUUAAUGAGUUCUGAAGCCCUACGUGAGGCAGGAAGAUGUGCCAUGAAUUAUCCAGUGAGGAGCACCUGCAUGAUUAACGAGAAUUCCUUCUCCAUUCUGCACUCCAGCGCUUCCCCACUUGCAAUAUCUUUGUUGGAACUACGUACAAAGGGAAUGAGAGGGGGAAGGAGGCAGAAAAACCUCAAGCAAAGGAGUUUGAGGCUAAAACAGCAGACAAAGUGAAGUAGCAAAGCCACAAUUCCCAGCACUGCCCAGAUGUUUUCUCAUCUGUUCAGGCACAGCUUUUUAUUGUCAGCUGCCACGUGAAAGCUUGCCAUGUUAAGGCUUAAUAAGUAAUUAAGACAGUGUGCCAGGAAACUGAGAAAAAUGAGGAAAACAAUGUGCUUUCACCUCCUCUCACAAAGUUUGAUUGAACUGGUUGAAGAUGUUCCUGUACUUUGCAUAGAGCUGAGCAAAUCACUCAUCAUAAAUAAUGUAUUAACCUAAUUUCAUCACUUUUACUCUGCGAAAUGCUCCUGAGUAGAUUUAAAAGUAUUUCUUCAGGAAAAGUAUUGGUGCUUGAAAGCAAAUCACCAGAUGUUUUAUCUGCACAUGGUAAUCACAUACAAACAGGUAAUGCUGUAAAUUGAGAAAGUCUAACAUUACCUCUCCAGGUAGUAUUUGAGAAAUAUUUCAGAAAUAGCUUCAGAGAAAAUAUUUAUGGCUAAAAUCAGUGUGUUGGGAAUAUUCUGUGCACCUGAAGUACACUGAUGUGCUGGAGGAAAGUCAUUGUGAAGGACUCAGGGCCAAAUAAAAAUAAUUUACUUCUUACACUGCCAGUAAAAUUGCUAUGACUAGAUCUGUUUAAAUUAACAGAGUCACAGCCACGUGGGAUGGACAAUAUCAUCUCAGAUAUGCAAAAGUCUCCCACUUAUAUGCAUAUAUCAAACUUCUCCAAGGCAAACUCCUUGUCUUUAACUAAACUUGUCUCAGGAUUACAGCAAGUCUUUUACUUCCCUUGAUGCAAUUCCACUUUUUCCCCUUGAAGAUCUCUGUGCAGAAGGUUCAAAGAGCAGGAAAAACACCUCCUGAGGUAAUGCAGGAAGACACAAUUUGCAAAGAUCUCUGCUGGAAAAGAAAUUGCAUUUCAGGUAAUCAGUGGAGAUCAAAUAAGGCAGCAAGAGCCUGGUGGCCACCCGUCUGUAAAGGCCAAUGAGAGUCAAUGGAGGAUCAAUAUGUUAAGGAUAAAGCCUUGAAAAAGACUUUUAGAUGUGCAUAAUUAGCCAUUCUUGAAGGUGUCAAAGCAGUUCACACUAAAACACUCCUGUGUAUGUGAUAACCUGUGAGAACACAGCUUAUACCCACAGGAAAUCUGGGCUGACCAUCACCUGUCACUGUAAAAACCAGGAAAAAACCAAUCAUUAAAACAUGGAAUAUAUUAUAUUGAUCAUUCA